rnacentral:rRNA from 1 species
GAUGAACGCUGGCGGCGUGCCUAAUACAUGCAAGACGAGCGAAUGGAUUAAGAGCUUGCUCUUAUGAAGUUAGCGGCGGACGGGUGAGUAACACGUGGGUAACCUGCCCAUAAGACUGGGAUAACUCCGGGAAACCGGGGCUAAUACCGGAUAACAUUUUGAACCGCAUGGUUCGAACUUGAACGGCGGCUUCGGCUGUCACUUAUGGAUGGACCCGGGUCGCAUUAGCUAGUUGGUGAGGUAACGGCUCACCAAGGCAACGAGGCGUAGCCGACCAGAGAGGGUGAUCGGCCACACUGGGACGGAGACACGGCCCAGACUCCUACGGGAGGCAGCAGUAGGGAAUCUUCCGCAAUGGACGAAAGUCUGACGGAGCAACGCCGCGUGAGUGAUGAAGGCUUUCGGGUCGUAAAACUCUGUUGUUAGGGAAGAACAAGUGCUAGUUGAAUAAGCUGGCACCUUGACGGUACCUAACCAGAAAGCCACGGCUAACUACGUGCCAGCCGCCGCCGUAA